GGGCCCGCACAAGCGGUGGAGUAUGUGGUUUAAUUCGAUGCAACGCGAAGAACCUUACCAGGGCUUGACAUCCUGCGAAUCUCUGGGAACCGGAGAGUGCCUUCGGGAACGCAGUGACAGGUGGUGCAUGGCUGUCGUCAGCUCGUGUCGUGAGAUGUUGGGUUAAGUCCCGCAACGAGCGCAACCCACGUCUUUAGUUGCCAGCAUUUAGUUGGGCACUCUAGAGAGACCGCCGGUGAUAAACCGGAGGAAGGUGUGGAUGACGUCAAGUCAUCAUGCCCCUUACAUCCUGGGCUACACACGUACUACAAUGCUACGGACAAAGGGCUGCAAGUUCGCGAGGACAAGCAAAUCCCAUAAACCGUGGCUCAGUUCAGAUCGUAGGCUGCAACUCGCCUACGUGAAGGCGGAAUCGCUAGUAAUCG
rnacentral:rRNA from 1 species